CGGGAUUAUAAGAAGUGAUAUUUAAAUUCAAAUGGAGAAUUUAAAUAUUUAGAUAAGCCCAUAAAAAUAUUGGAAUCAUAAGAAUUUAUUAUGGAAAUUUUUGGAUAAGUAUAAUAAUAUGACAAUUUUGGAAUGACGAAUUUCCAAAAUUCAUAUCUUCCUAUUCCGACAUCAGAAUUCGAUGAUCUAUAUGUCAAAUCGAAGCUAUCGACGUCCUCUUCAAUUUUAUAAAUUUUAUUUUAUAAAAUUUGAAUGAGAAACAGUGCAGAAAUUUAAAGAACAAUGCAGCUCAAAUCGAACCGCUGGGUUCGUCAGGAUUUAGGUAACUAGGACUAAGGAAACGUAUUAUUUAAGUUCAAAUUGAUAAUUUAAAUAAUCGAGGAAGCUUAUUAAUAUAUUUGGAGUCCAAGGAAUAAAUUUGAGAAUUUUUGGACGAAAAAGUAUAUUUUAGCCGGACUGCAAUUGGACUGCAGAAUUAAUAAAAAAAAAUUAAUUAUAAAAUAAAAUAGACGUCCCGAGAUAAUAAUUUGGAAGUUAUUAUUCAUGAAAUAAUAUUUGGAAAUGUUUGAGAGAAUUAAAUAUCGAAAAUGAUAAAAGUCAAUUUUACCCUAAACUUCGAUUUAUUUACGAAAUUGCCACAAGGGCAAACUUGUAAUUUUGCCUAGACUAAUAAAUAUCCUAAGUCUUCUUCCCCACUUCAUUUCCAGCAAAUUUCUUUUACCUCCAUUGUUGAAUGCUCUCAACUCACCAUUUACCCUUAGCUAUAUUAUUCAUUUGUCAUUUCUCAAUAAUUCCUUAACGAAAAACGUUGGAAAUCACCCGCUAAUUACUAAUCUACAAUUGCAUGUAGGAUCAAGAUUCGACAAGUUGUCGAGCUAUCGAGUCGGAGGACCAAGGAAAUUAACGGAGUUGUUUAAAGGAGCAUUGACGGAGUAAUACCGUAGUUAAACGGUUUCUGAAAGCUGGUCCGAUUUUGAUGAAGGCUUCCGAACGUUUAUUUCUCGGAAGUCUACUUUGAUAAAAGACUGUAAAUAAGGUUUUAAGUUCUAGUUGUCCGCAGUAGACUAGUAUAGUCUUAUUGUAUUUAAAUGUUUUAAAGCACAUUUAAAACUCUGAUGUUUUAUCUCAUCAGUUAUUUAAUAAAUG